UGGGCAUGAGGGAAGCAGCUUGUCCUUG
rnacentral:piRNA from 1 species